UCCAGCAGCCGCGGUAAUACGUAGGUGGCAAGCGUUGUCCGGAUUUAUUGGGCGUAAAGCGAGCGCAGGCGGUUUUUUAAGUCUGAUGUGAAAGCCUUCGGCUCAACCGAAGAAGUGCAUCGGAAACUGGGAAACUUGAGUGCAGAAGAGGACAGUGGAACUCCAUGUGUAGCGGUGAAAUGCGUAGAUAUAUGGAAGAACACCAGUGGCGAAGGCGGCUGUCUGGUCUGUAACUGACGCUGAGGCUCGAAAGUAUGGGUAGCAAACAGGAUUAGAUACCCUGGUAGUCCAUACCGUAAACGAUGAAUGCUAAGUGUUGGAGGGUUUCCGCCCUUCAGUGCUGCAGCUAACGCAUUAAGCAUUCCGCCUGGGGAGUACGGCCGCAAGGCUGAAACUCAAAGGAAUUGACGGGGGCCCGCACAAGCGGUGGAGCAUGUGGUUUAAUUCGAAGCUACGCGAAGAACCUUACCAGGUCUUGACAUACUAUGCAAAUCUAAGAGAUUAGACGUUCCCUUCGGGGACAUGGAUACAGGUGGUGCAUGGUUGUCGUCAGCUCGUGUCGUGAGAUGUUGGGUUAAGUCCCGCAACGAGCCGCACCCUUAUUAUCAGUUGCCAGCAUUAAGUUGGGCACUCUGGUGAGACUGCCGGUGACAAACCGGAGGAAGGUGGGGAUGACGUCAAAUCAUCAUGCCCCUUAUGACCUGGGCUACACACGUGCUACAAUGGAUGGUACAACGAGUUGCGAACUCGCGAGAGUAAGCUAAUCUCUUAAAGCCAUUCUCAGUUCGGAUUGUAGGCUGCAACUCGCCUACAUGAAGUCGGAAUCGCUAGUAAUCGCGGAUCAGCAUGCCGCGGUGAAUACGUUCCCGGGCCUUGUACACACCGCCCGUCACACCAUGAGAGUUUGUAACACCCAAAGUCGGUGGGGUAACCUUUUAGGAACCAGCCGCCUAAGGUGGGACAGAUGAUUAGGGUGAAGUCGUA
rnacentral:rRNA from 2 species